rnacentral:rRNA from 1 species
GGCGGCAGGCUUAACACAUGCAAGUCGAGCGAUCCCUUCGGGGAUAGCGGCGGACGGGUGAGUAACGCGUGGGAACGUGCCCUUCACUACGGAAUAGCCCAUGGAAACGUGGAUUAAUACCGUAUACGCCCUUCGGGGGAAAGAAUUUCGGUGAGGGAUCGGCCCGCGUCUGAUUAGGUAGUUGGUGGGGUAAUGGCCUACCAAGCCGACGAUCAGUAGCUGGUUUUAGAGGAUGAUCAGCCACACUGGGACUGAGACACGGCCCAGACUCCUACGGGAGGCAGCAGUGGGGAAUCUUAGACAAUGGGGGCAACCCUGAUCUAGCCAUGCCGCGUGAGUGAUGAAGGUCUUAGGAUCGUAAAGCUCUUUCGCCUGUGAUGAUAAUGACAGUAGCAGGUAAAGAAACCCCGGCUAACUCCGUGCCAGCAGCCGCGGUAAUACGGAGGGGGUUAGCGUUGUUCGGAAUUACCGGGCGUAAAGCGCGCGUAGGCGGACUGGAAAGUUGGGGGUGAAAUCCCGGGGCUCAACCCCGGAACUGCCUUCAAAACUAUCAGUCUAGAAGUUCGAGAGAGGUGAGUGGAAUUCCAGUGUAGAGGUGAAAUUCGUAGAUAUUC